GGCUGUCUGCCCUGCAUGCGCAGCUGGGCCAGUUACGCGUCUGCAGAUAAGAGGUCAGGUGUGUUCCUCUGUCAGACUCUGCCCCCCCAGGCCCUGUCAGCUCUCAGGCUGUCUGCCCUGCAUGCGCAGCUGGGCCAGUUAUGCAGCUGCAGAUAAGAGGUCAGGUGUGUUCCUCUGUCAGACUCUGCCCCCCCAGGCCCUGUCAGCUCUCAGGCUGUCUGCCCUGCAUGCGCAGCUGGGCCAGAUAUGCAGCUGCAGAUAAGAGGUCAGGUGUGUUCCUCUGCCAGACUCUGCCCCACCAGGCCCUGUCAGCUCUCAGGCUGCCUGCCCUGCAUGCGCAACUGGGCCAGUUAUGCAGCUGCAAGCUGCAGAUAAGAGGUCAGGUGUGUUCCUCUGUCAGACUCUGCCCCCCCAGGCCCUGUCAGCUCUCAGGCUGUCUGCCCUACAUGCGCAGCUGGGCCAGUUAUGCGGCUGCAGAUAAGAGGUCAGGUGUGUUCCUCUGCCAGACUCUGCCCCAUCAGGCCCUGUCAGCUCUCAGGCUGUCUGCCCUGCAUGCGCAGUUGGGCCAGUUAUGCAGCUGCAGAUAAGAGGUCAGGUGUGUUCCUCUGCCAGACUCUGCCCCCUCAGGCCCUGUCAGCUUUCAAGCUGUCUGCCCUGCAUGCGCAGCUGGGCCAGUUAUGCAGCUGCAGAUAAGAGGUCAGGUGUGUUCCUCUGUCAGACUCUGCCCCCCCUGGCCCUGUCAGCUCUCAGGCUGUCUGCCCUGCAUGCGCAGCUGGGACAGUUAUGCAGCUGCAGAUAAGAGGUCAGGUGUGUUCCUCUGCCAGACUCUGCCCCACCAGGCCCUGUCAGCUCUCAGGCUGCCUGCCCUGCAUGCGCAGCUGGGCCAGUUAUGCAGCUGCAGAUAAGAGAUCAGGUGUGUUCCUCUGUCAGACUCUGCCCCCCCAGGCCCUGUCAGCUCUCAGGCUGUCUGCCCUGCAUGCGCAGCUGGGCCAGUUAUGCAGCUGCAGAUAAGAGAUCAGGUGUGUUCCUCUGUCAGACUCUGCCCCAUCAAGCCCUGUCAGCUCUCAGGCUGUCUGCCCUGCAUGCGCAGCUGGGCCAGUUAUGCGGCUGCAGAUAAGUGGUCAGGUGUGUUCCUCUGUCAGACUCUGCCCCCCCAGGCCCUGUCAGCUCUCAGGCUGUCUGCCCUGCAUGCGCAGCUGGGCCAGUUAUGCGGCUGCAGAUAAGAGGUCAGGUGUGUUCCUCUGUCAGACUCUGCCCCCCCAGGCCCUGUCAGCUCUCAGCCUGCUUGCCCUGCAUGCGCAGCUGGGCCAGUUAUGCGGCUGCAGAUAAGAGGUCAGGUGUGUUCCUCUGUCAGACUCUGCCCCCCCAGGCCCUGUCAGCUCUCAGGCUGUCUGCCCUGCAUGCGCAGCUGGGCCAGUUAUGCGGCUGCAGAUAAGAGGUCAGGUGUGUUCCUCUGUCAGACUCUGCCCCCCCAGGCCCUGUCAGCUCUCAGGUUGUGUGCCCUGCAUGCGCAGCUGGGAC